rnacentral:misc_RNA from 1 species
GAUGAAGAACGUAGCGAAAUGCGAUAAGUAAUGUGAAUUGCAGAAUUCAGUGAAUCAUCGAAUCUUUGAACGCACAUUGCGCCCAUUAGUAUUCUAGUGGGCAUGCCUGUUCGAGCGUCAUUAAGUCCACUUAAGCCCUGCUUAGUGUUGGGAGACUGCUCCAGCGGUGCUACCCUGUAGCUACCCUGCAGCUCCUCAAAGACAGCGGCGGAGUUGUGGUAUCCUCUGAGCUUAGUAACUUGUUCUAGCUUUCGAGUACACCACUUCCCCUGCCGUAAAACCCUUAAUUUUUAAUGGUUGACCUCGGAUCAGGCAGGAAUACCCGCUGAACUUAAGCAUAUCAAUAAGCGGAGGA